CCCUUAGAUGUCCUGGGCCGCACGCGCGCUACACUGAUGCAUGCAACGAGUUUAUAACCUUGGCCUGAAAGGUCUGGGUAAUCUUUUGAACGUGCAUCGUGAUAGGGAUAGAUUAUUGCAAUUGUUAAUCUUGAACGAGGAGUUCCUAGUAAACGCGAGUCAUCAGCUCGCAUUGAUUACGUCCCUGCCCUUUGUACACACCGCCCGUCGCACCUACCGAUUGAAUGAUCCGGUGAAUAAUUCGGACUGCAGCAGUGUUCAGUUCCUGAACGUUGCAGCGGAAAGUUUAGUGAACCUUAUCACUUAGAGGAAGGAGAAGUCGUAACA
rnacentral:rRNA from 1 species